CCUCUUUCCUGCUAUGAGGGGAAGAGAAGUCUUCCUCAUUGUGCUUGUGUUGAUAGCCUAGCACCCUGGAACCAGCACUUGGCUUUACUUGGAAAGAAAAUUUAUCUGUUGGUCGUGUGAAAAAUUACUUCCGGAUGGACUUCACUGGGGCUCUGGUUUUCUGGGACUCCCUACCUGAGUGAAGAGAGAGGUCACUUCUCUUCUACCAAAGUAGAAAAUACUUUGAUAUGUAAUGAAAUGGAGGUUACUGGGUAACUUCCUUUUUCUAAAUCUCAGUGAAAUUCAGUCCUGGUUUAUUAAUAAUCCCAUAAUGCUUCACUUCAGAUUAACUGACACUUGAAAUGAUGCUCUCUAAUUUCUCACUAGGGUAUGAGAGAGAGAGUUGAGAGAAAAAGAUUAAUAGAGAGAGACACGCAGACAAUGACAGAGAGAAAACCCAGAGACAGUAAUUCAGCUGACUCAUGAGUUCAGCUGAGUUAUUAUUUUUAAUGUUUUUUGCAGGAACAAACAUCAAGAAAAUGUUUUGCACCUCCUUCAAUCUUCCAGGCAAUGAUUGCUAAGUGUCCAUGUUGAAAAUUCAUUGAGGUGGGUUCAUCUACCUGGUCACCUGGUGCAUCAGCAGCUGAUUAAUAAAUCCUUGAGCAACUCUUUGGUAAACCCUCCAUGUAAGCAAAAGAUGCUGCUCCAUGGUGAUUCAUGUGGAAACAAGAACUUUUCUCUUCUUUCUUCCCACACUGCCCCCUGGCCACCACAGUUUACAAGAAAGCUCAAGAUGCAUCUCCUUGAUUCCAUCCACCCCAUCCAAUAGAUGUGUCACUGCCUCUGCUCCUGAGCCUGGCUGUGUGUCUACCCAUUAUAGGCUGGCUCAACCAAGCUCAAUCCAGGCACUGCUAAAGAGGCCAGAAACGAUGCCAAUGGACAUGCUGUCAAUGC